UACAGAGGGUGCAAGCGUUGUUCGGAAUUAUUGGGCGUAAAGGGCGCGUAGGCGGUGCUAUAAGUCUGUGGUGAAAUCUCAGGGCUCAACCCUGAAAUUGCGACCAAUACUGGUCGACUAGAGUGCAAGAGAGGAAGGUGGAAUUCCCGGUGUAGUAGUGAAAUGCGUAGAUAUCGGGAGGAACACCAGUGGCGAAGGCGGCCUUCUGGCUUGCAACUGACGCUGUAGCGCGAAAGCGUGGGGAGCGAACCGG
rnacentral:rRNA from 1 species